CAAGCUCAUCACAAGCAGAAGAGUCCAAAACUUCCGGAGUCAUUGGCUGUCUGGACCUGCUGGGCUGACAGGAGACGAGGAUGCGCUGCUAUAGGUGGCUGCCCGCCAGGUUUCCACCACCGAAUCGGAGAGCUUUCAGCGAAUUCCCUUCCUGUUCCCCGAUUUAAGAGGUGACGUCCACUAUACUACCCUUGUCAACUCUCUCCUGACAAGAACUGAAUCCACGUCUCAUGUGCCCUCUCAUCCACUGGCAUAUUGAAUGUUUCCUCUCCAAGC
rnacentral:lncRNA from 1 species